rnacentral:lncRNA from 1 species
ACCGAGCCUCCCGGAUUUAAAGCGGCAGGAGCUGGUUAGCCGGAUAGAAUGUGGGUGCCGAGGGCCGGUGGGGGCCACCGCAGACUUCUUUCUGUCCCUGCUCUUCAGCGUCUCUGAAACCCCUGGCAGCCUGCGGAGAAACGAUCUUUUCUUCGUCUCUCAGCUUAUUUGGGGCCUUUUUUUUUUUUUUUAACUUGGGUGGAGGAAGUGGCUUCUAGCGACGGACACACACGGUGCCAUUUGGUAUUGCGGAUGCUGGAGUCUGGUUAUUGAGUAGACAGAUGCUUGCUGGAACGUCCAGUGAAACUUUAUUUACAAAAUCAGGCGCCAGCCCUUGGGCCCUCGUUUGCGGAUAUUUUUAAAAUAGCUUUAAAUAUUAAUAAGCGUAUUAAAAUUGCCUUAAAUGUUAGUUAUCUUAAAUAUUGUUAGAUUAAUAUUAAUUAAUCUUGAUUGGCGACAUUUUUAGCGUCCCAUAAAUUUUGCUCCUUGCUGUGAUCUGGGUCCUGCUUCUUACUUGGCCCAUCUAUCCAUCCUGGAGUAGAAAAGUCCUGAAGCAUCUGGCCACCUAGGUACCACCUGCGUCCUUCUGGGACUUUGUAUUUACUUACAUUUUUGUAAAAUAUAUACAUUUUUUAUUUUUGAGAGACAGGAUGUCACUCUGUCACCCAGGCUGGAGUGCAGUGGCGGCAUCAUGGUUCACUUCAGCCCUGAACUCUUGGGCUCCAGUGAUCCUCCCACCUCGGUCUCCCAAGUGGCAAGGACAACAAAUGUGUGUCACCACGCCUGGCCAAUUUUAUAUAUUAUAUUAUAUUAUAUUAUAUUAUAUUAUAUUAUAUUAUAUUAUAUUAUAUUUAUUUUGAGACGGAGUCUCGCUCUGUCACCCAGGCUGGAGUGCAGUGGCACCAUAUCGGCUCCCUGCAACCUCAGCCUCCUGGGUUCAAGCAAUUCUCCUGCCUCAGCCUCCCGAGUAGCUGGGACUACAGGCACGUGCCACCACGCCUGGCUAAUUUUUUGCAUUUUCAGUAGAGAUGGGGUUUCACCGUGUUAGCCAGGAUGGUCUCGAUCUCCUGACCUCGUGAUCUGCCUGCCUCAGCCUCCCAAAGUGCUGGGAUUACAGGCGUGAGCCACAGUGCCUGGCCUGUAUUAUAUUUAUUUUGAGACAGGGUCUUACCCUGUCGCUCAGGCUGGAGUGCAGUGGUGCUAUCUCAGCUCACCGCAACCUCCUCCUCCCGGCUCAAGCUGAUCCUCCCGCCUCAGCCUCCCGAGUAUCUGGGACUACUUUUUGUAGAGAUGGCGUCUUGCUAUGUUGCCCAGGCUGGUCUCAAACUCUCGGUCUCAAGCUCCUGGGCUCAAGAGAUCCUCCCAUCUGGGCCUCCCAAAGUUCUUAGGAUUACAGACGUGAGCUACUGUGCCUGGCUAGGGAAUAUUUUUGAAAGUAGAGUUCUUGCAGGCUAAAGGAGCAGGCAGCACAGAUGAGAGGAGACAUCUGAGUUGCUUUAAAAGGAAGGGCAAAAUGUGGUGACCAGAGAGGAAAGUGAAAAGCUUUCCAGCAGGCUCACGGCAGGAAAGGAGGGUCAGGACAGGGAACUAUGUGUACAGAUAUUGAGGUACAAAUAAGGUAAGUGUAAUUUAAAAAGAGAAAAUAAGAAAAAGCUCAUUUCUUUUCUGGACAAUACUAACAGUUUGAUGCUGGAAGCUAUCUUAGAAGUUAGGAAAUUCAACCAGGGUCCUCAGAGAGCAGACUGGAAGUCAGGAUGUGGGGAUGAGACACGGGGCUGGCAGACAGCAAGGGUGACAGUGCUUGUGCUUACUCCGCUUGUGCCUGCUGUAGCUCAGUUCUGUGACUGCCCUGGCAUUUUCUCAAUUGUGUGGUGAAUUAAUUUGUUUAAGUACUCCUUGUUUAGACCCUCUAUUUAAGACCUUUUUUGAACAUUUUAUGGAAUCUCCUUCCCUUGGAUCUACUUACUACGGAAAGAACAGUCCCUUAUUUUCUCAUGAGUUGAUGCCACUCUUGUUUUGGCCGUUCAGAGAUAAUAUGAUGCUGGAUGGCAUCUCAAUGUGUUACCCAGGCUGGUCUUGAACUCCUGGACUCAAUCCUCCUACCUUGGCCUCCCAAAGUGCUGGGAUUAUAGGUGUGAGUCAUCCUGUCUGGCCUAUUUUCUGAGGACUGAUUUUGUAUUUUAUUAUUAUUAUUUUAGGACCACAUAACUCUGUUUAGAAAAUGUUUCUAAUGUAUUGAGUGCUUCAAAGGUAUAUUAGUUCGAUUUCACACUGCUAUAAGGAAUUGCCUGAGGCUGAGUAAUAUAUAAAAUAAACAGGUUUAAUUGACUCAGUUCCAUAUAACUGGGGAGGCCGCAGGAAACUUACAAUCAUGGCUGAAGGUGAAGGGGAAGCAAGGCACAUCUUACUUGUUGGCAGGAGAGAGAGAGUGCAGGGGAAACUGCCACUUUUUCUUUUUUUUUUUUGGAGACAGAGUCUCACUCUGUUGCCCAGGCUGGAGUGCAGUGGCGCAAUCUUGGCUCACUGCAAGCUUGGCCUCCCGGGUUCACGUCAUUCUCCUGCCUCAGCAUCCCGAGUAGCUGGGACUACAGGCGCCCGCCACUACGCCUGGCUAAUUUUUUGUAUUUUUAGUAGAGACGAGGUUUCACGUGUUAGUCAGGAUGGUCUCGAUCUUCUGCCCUCAGGUAAUCCACCCGCCUUGGCCUCCCAAAGUGCUGGGAUUACAGGUGUGAGCCACCAUGCCCAGCCAGAAACUGCCACUUUUAAACCAUCAGAUCUCAUUGAGAACUCCCUCACUAUCACGAGAACCGCAUGAGGGAAACCACCCCCAUGAUCUGAUCACCUCCCACCAGGUCCUGCCCUCAACAUGUGGGGAUUACAAUUCAAGAUGAGAUUUGGGUCAGGAAACAGAGCCAAACCAUAUCAAGAGCCUCUGGUAACCACUGUUCUACUCAAUACUUCUAUGAGGUGAACUUCUUUGGAUUCCACAUAUGAUCAAGAUCAUGAGGAAGGAGGAGCAAGUCUUCUUUGUCAUGCUAUUAAGAAAAUACCCAGAGUCACAGCACCAUGAUCUCCUUGUGAAGCAGAACAAGUAAUAUAAAACUGAUCUAAAGAGGCCUCCCCUCUACUCUUAUCUGUCUGGUCGAGUCAUUUGGGUCCAAGUGGGCACCAUUGUGGGAGGGUGGGAGGACUCAUCACUGGGGGCCCAGGCAUCAUUGGCAUGUGGCCUCCUGUGUUAGUUUGUUCUCAUGCUGCAAAUAAAGACAACUUGAGACUGGAUAAUUUAUAAAGGAAAGAGGUUUAAUGGACUCACAGUUCCACAUGGCUAAGGAGUACUCACAAUCAUGGCGGAAGACAAAGGAAGAGCAAAGGGACAUCUUACAUGGCAGCAGGCAAGAGAGCGUGUGCAGGGGAAGUCCCCUUUAUAAAACCAUCAGAUCUCAUGAGACUUAUUCACUAUCGCGAGAACAGCAUGAGAAAAACCCACCCCCAUGAUUCAAUUACCUCCCACCGUGUCCCUCCCAUGUCAUGUGAAGAUUAUUACAACUCAAGGUCACAGGAACCUUGAUCUGUGCUUGCUGCAAGGAUCAUCAAACAUAGAGCGG